CAAUACGUAAGACACUAAACAAGAAUGGUGUUCAUGGGAGGACACCACGGAAGAAGCCACUGCUGUCCAAAUAAAACAUUGCUACACUGUCUGAAUUUUGUCAAAGUGCACCUGGAUGUUCCACAACGCUACCAGCAUAAUGUUCUGUGGACAGAUGAAACUGCAGUUGAGUUGUUUGGAAGGAACACACAACACCGUGUGGAGGAAAAGGCACAGCACACCAACAUCAAAACAUCAUCCCAACUGUAAAGUAUGGUGGAGGGAGCAUCAUGGUUUGGGGCUGCUUUGCUGCCCCAGGGCCUGGUCAGCUUGCUAUCGUUGACAGAAAAAUGAAUUCCCAUGUUUAUCAAGACAUUUUGAAGGAGAAUGUUCGGCUAACUGUUCUCCAAUUGAACCUCAACAGAAGUUGGGAGAUGCAACAGGACAAUGAUGCAAAACACAGAAGUAAAUCAACAGAAGAAAAUAAGCCUUCUGGAGUGGCCCAGUCAGAGUCCUGACCUCAACCCCAUUGAGAUGCUGUGGCAUGACCUCGAGAGCAGUUCACACCAGACAUCCCAAGAAUAUUGCUGAACUGAAACAGUUUUGUAAAGAGGAAUGGUGUUACAUUUAUUGUUUCUGUAUUGUGUUUUUUUUUGUAUGUGUGUUUCAGGAUGGCUUCCUAAAAUUCCCCCAAGCAGCUGAUUGGUCGGCCCCAUUGCUAAUUGGAGCUGAACCCGCCCUCUCGUCAGAGGAUACAGCUGUUUCCCAUUGGACUCCUCCUGAAGCUAGAAAAGCCUGUGUUCCUUUGUUAGGAGAGAGCUGAUUGUUAUGUUCUGUGCUAGUUUGUUGCUCAGAGAAAGAGAGCUUAUUAGUAUGUCCUGUGUGUGUCAAUAGGACGCAGUGUUUUUGAUUCUUGAAGUUGUUUACUUAUGUUUGUAUUCUGUUUCAUUUGUUCCCAGGGGGGAAGGGGAAGGCAACUAGGGAGUGCUUAGGCAAGAGGCCUGCGGGAAUACAUAACCAGUAGUAUUUACAGUCUAUGCACACUAGGUAAGACCUGGGCGGACCACCCCCUGUAUUUUGGUUAGCGCACCAGGAGGUGCUAAAAGGUUAGGUAAGUGGGUAGGCAGGUAAGAUAGGAGAGGGCAGGUUAGGUUAGGUAAGAUAGGAGUGGGUAGGCAGGUAAGAUAGGAGAGGGUAGGUUAGGUAAGUAGUGGGUAGGCAGGUAAGAUAGGAGAGGGUAGGUUAGGUAAGUAGUGGGUAGGCAGGUAAGAUAGGAGAGGGCAGGUUAGGUAAGUAGUGGGUAGGCAGGUAAGAUGGUAGAUGGGGCUUUGACAUUUACUUUCUUUGCUUUGGUUCCGUUCAGCUCCUUUCCCUCAAAUGUAUCGUGUGAAGGAAUAAAUUACCAGUAAAGGGUCA
ensembl:lncRNA